CUGUUGGUGGUGAUCAAAGGUAAAUAUUUUAAUAUUCGUUAUCUAAAAAUUGCAACCUUACAAUAAACAAAUGAAAUUAAAUUUCAGGACAUCGAUGAAAUAUGACCCCGUACGAAAAGGAGAACUCGGAUUACACUUCCGGUAUUGGUGCGAAAAUGCGAGCUACUCUUCCGACUGUUUUUUCACCAUCCGGAAGAAGCGGGAAUGGGCUGGACUGCUUUAAAAACAUCACCCGCCGGUCAAAAAUUAAUACCUCACCCCUCGUGAACGAACAGUACUGGAGUCAAUGAUAUUUUUACCAUUUUCUUCUUCAAAAUGUCACCAAGGUAUAUCGCCACUUCCGGCGUUGUCCGGCACCGGCGUUAUAUUAGUUUUUUUAUCAUUUUAAUUUGCAUUUUCGAUUAAUAGCGAUAACUGUUUUAAUAUAGUGUAUUGGUUUCAAUUAAUAAAAAUACUAAAUAGAAA